UACAACAUGAACGAAUGGGCAAUUUUAUUGAUCAUUACCUCCUACCCAACCUCCUAGUAGUAGAUACAGGCUGUGCGGUUUCCAGCAGGGAUCUCAGGUGCAGGGGAAGUCACGGGACAAGGCGAAUUCUGGCAGGUUCUUCGCUGACGGACCAAAAACCCACGUUUACUGCAAUUCUCACAAACGAGUGCUGAAGAUGAAGAAUCACAUUCUCACACCACCAGCACAGCUUAAAUACUUCUUCGACAAAAAUACUAAUAAUAAAUUAUCUUCAACUCAGAAAAUAAAGUGUGCUCAGCAGAGUGACAGGAGGGUCCAUUCAUUGCAUUGCACCAAGGGCUGGGCGAGGGAGGGCAGGCCCGGGCAGCUGCACCGGCGGGAGCAUGGGGCUGACAGCACGUGCUGAACUUGGUCGAAUGCAUGCUUGAUGCCAACGGUGGGUGGUGGCAGCCCCUAGGCCGCGGCCUGUCCCGCGUGAGAUUCACCUGCCCCUCCUCCUCCUCACGUCCGCCUUGUCUUCUGUUUCUUGGCUUGUCUCUUUGCAUCUUCUGGGCCGCUAUUGUCAGAGGCUGUCUGGCCAAGAGCUCGCACACCCUGUAGUCGACUUGUCAACUGCAACAGCAAGGGAAUGAGCUAGAACGAGAGAGAGAGAGAGUGAGAGAGAGGGAUGCCAGGAGAAUACUCUUGCCCAGAGGGACAAGGGAGCCUCACGUGUCAACACACCUCCUUCUUCGGGCAGCUCACCACCCACUGUGGGCUAACAGGUGACUCUUGGUUCAAGACGAGGCAGAGAGAGGCCUUGGCACUGGAGAGGGUUGGCAGACACACGGGGACAAAGGAUUAGGGGAGAUGUUACAAGAGGUUUAUGGCCUUCAAAGGAGGCCUGAGAUUUGACAAAGUACAGUAUCUAUUCUUGAUAAAAGCCCUCAACAAAGUAGGAACACAGGGAACAUACCCCUAUAUCAUCAAGGCCAGAUAUGAACGACCCACAACUAAUAUCCUCCUCAAUGGGGAAAACCUGAGAGCUUUUCCCUCUAAGGCCAGAAACACGACAGUGAUGUUCGCUCUCACCAUUGCUAUUUCACACAGUACUGGAAGUCCUAGCUUUAGCCAUCAGACAAAAAAAGAAAUAAAAGGCAUCCAAAUCGGCAAGAAGUCAAACUUUCACUAUUCGCAGACUACACAAUCCUUUACGUGGAAAGCCCAAAAGAUGCCACCAAAAAACUGCUAGCACUGAUAACACGAAUUCAGCAAAGUCGCAGGACACAAAAUCAACAUAGAGAAAUCUGUCACGUUUCUCUACACCAAUAAUGAAGUGGCAGAAAGAGAAAUCAAGGAAUUGAUCCCAUUUGAAAUUGCACCCAAAACCGUAAGAUACCUAGGAAUAAACCUAAUCAAAGAGGUAAAGGAUCUGUACGCUGAACACUAUAGAAAGCUUAUGAAAGAAAUUGAAGAAGACACAAAGAAAUGGGAAAACACUCCAUGCUCCUGGACUGGAAGAACAAACAUUGUUAAAAUGUCCAUACUACCCAAAGCAAUCUACACAUUUAAUGCAAUCCCUAUCAAAAUACCACCAGGAUUUUUCACAGAGCUAGAAGAAACAAUCCUAAAAUUUGUGUGGGACCACAAGAGACCCUGAUUAGCCAAAGCAAUCUUGAAAAAGAAAAGCAAAGCUGGAGGCAUCACAAUCCCAGACUUCAAGUUAUUAUUAUAAAGCUGUAGUGAUCAUGACAGUAUGGCACUGGCACAAACACAGCCACAGAGAUCGAUGGAACAGAACAGAAAACCCAGACACGGACCUACAACUGUGUGGCCAACUAAUCUCUGACGAAGCAGGAAAGAAUAUCCAAUGGGAAAAAGACAGUCUCUUCAGCAAGUGGUAUUGGGAAAACUGGACCAUUUUCUAAAGUUUUUUUUUAAUGUCUGUUUAUUUUUGAGAGAGAGAGCGAGACAGAGUGCAAGUAGGGAGAGGCAGAGAGAGGGAGACACAGAAUCCGAAGCAGGCUCCAGGCUCUGAGCUGUCAGCACAGACUUGAACGCAAGGCCUGAACUCACGAACUGUGAGAUCAUGACCUGAGCCGAAGCCAGAUGCUCAACCGACUGAGCCGCCCAGGCACCUGAACCUGGACCACUUUCUUACACCAUAUACAAAAAUAAGUUCAACAUGGAUGAAAGAUGUAAAUAUGAGACAGGAAAUCAUCAAAAUCCUAGAGAUGAACACAGGAGUAACCUCUUUGACAUCAGCUGUACCAACUAGACAUGUCUCCUGAGUCAAGGGAAACAAAAAGCAAAAAUGAACUACUAGGGUUUCAUCAAGAUAAAAACCUUCUGAAUAGUAAAGGAAACAAUAAAACUAAAGAGCAACCUUUGGAAUGGAAAAUAUAUUUGCAAAUGACAUUAUCUGAUAAAUGGUUAAUGUCCAAAAUCUAGAAAGAACUUAUCAAACUCAAUACCCAAAAAAUAAAUGAUCCAGUUAAGAAAUGGACAGAAGACACGAAUAGACAUUUUUUCACAAGGAAGACAUCCAGAUGGCUACAGACACACGAAAAGAUGCUCAACAUCCCUCAUCAUCAGGAAAAUACAAAUCAAAACCAUGUUGAGAUACCACCUCACACCUGUCAGAAUGGCUAACAUUAACAACUCAGGAAACAAUAGAUGUUGGCGAGGAUGCGGAGAAAGAGGAAUCCUUUUGCAUUGUUGGUGGGAACACAAGCGGGUGCAGCCACUCUGGAAAACAGUAUGGAGGUUCCUCAAAACAUUAAAAAUAGAACUACUGUACAACCCAGCAACUGCACUACUAGGUAUUUAUCCAAAGGACACAAAAAUAUUGAUUCAAUACUGAUUCAAACAUGUACCCCAAUAUUUAUAGCAGCACUGUCAACAAUAGCCAAAUUAUGGAAAGAGCCCAAAGGUCCAUCAACUGAUGCAUGGAUAAAGAAAAUGUGAUACACACACACACACACACACACACACACACACUGUGGAAUAUUACCCAGCCAUCACGAAGAAUGUGAUCUUGUCAUUCGCAACAACAUGGAUGGAACUAGAGUAUAUUGUGCUAAGCGAUAGAAGUCAGUCAAAGACAAGUAUCGUAUGAUUUCACACAUAUGUGGAACUUAAGAAACAAAACAUAUGAACAUAUGGGAAAGAAAAAAGAGAGAGAGGGAGGAAAAACCAUAAGAGACUGUUAGAGGUGAUGGGGUAAUGGGUUAAAUGGAUGACGGGAAUUAAGGAGGGCACUUGUGAUGAGCACUGGGUGUUGUAUGUAAGCUCUGAAUCGUUAAAUUCCACACCUGAAACUAAUAUUACACUACAUGUUAACUAACUAGAGUUUAAGUAAAAACAUAAACAUUAAAAAAUAAUAAUAAACUAAAAAGUUAAAAAAAAAAGCAAAGGAAAGAAAAGAGGACUGGGGACUGGAUUUGAGGCCUUCGCACUCGCUUCCAACCCUGUAUCUUCUGGAACACUGGACACCUCGCCGUGUGUGAGAAGGUGUGUAACAAUGGAUGGAACCCUGCACUUUCUCGCAGGGCCUCUGCAUUUCCUACCUUAUCGUGGUUGUAGCCGGCCAACAGGACAAGCAGGGUCAGAGGCAGGGCGAUGUAGGACCCCUGUGCGAUGUCUUGCUCAGGCAGUUUCCUCUGUGGACACCAAGACCACCAUUACUGCUUUAUAGGCUCUCCGCUUCCUGGCCGCCCACCAUCCCACAGCCUUGGCCCGCCCAGCCGGGACCCCGGGCAUCCACAUGACCCAAUUCUUGCUCUCCACGGCCAGGAAGUGCAGCGACUUGGGUAUACUUUCAGGUGAAUCCCUGCUCCCCCAACUCCCCUGCUUGCUCUUUGACACUCUGGGCCAGACAGAUGCCAAUCACAAGGUAGGUCUCACCCUCUGAGCCUCCACGAGACUGAGGAAACCGAGCUGUGGGGAGCAGGCCAUCCCUGUGGCUGAGACGUAAAGGGCCCCCUGGGCACUGAGUCCCGGCUACACACAGGGGCUCUUCCCUACAAGGGGGUACGGAGAACCCGCCGUGCUAGGCUCAGGCGCACAGUGACAGAUGCACUGGUCGCAGAGAGUAUCUCUAGUGAUGGGAGGAGGCAGGCUGCCACUUGUCUCCUAGCGGCCAUUUGCCCUUUCUUCCAACUUUCAUCCGGGCCGAUCAGAAUAUACACACUUCCCAGCCUCCUCUGCAGCUAAGAUAGCCAUGGAAUUAAAUUCUGGCCAAGACCACAUGGAUAGAAGUGUUCGGUAACACAUCCAGGCUGUUCGCUAAAAAGUGGUGCUGUGCCCUCCCCUCCUGCCGGCCAGGAGUGCCAUCUGUCAAAAAGGUGAUGUGCUAAGGGACGGCAGAGCCCCAAGAGAGGGGAGGCUGGGCCCCUGAUACCUUGGGGCUGCCAUAGCAUUCCUGUACUGCUCUGUCCUGGAUGCUGACAUAAGACCGAAACUUCCAUCUGACUAAAAGCCCCUGAAAUUUUGGGUCUCUAUACUAGCCAAUGAACCUGUACCUUAGCUCACUCUAUCCGCGCAAAAGAAACAAAUAAUGGAAACUUUCAGAUAAUGACAGAACAAGUUAAGGAGCCAGAGCACUGGUUCUCAAAGUAAUGUCUAGGGAACUUCCUUUCAGAUUUCCAAGGUCAAAACUAUUUUCAUAACAACACUAAGAUAUUAUAUGCCUUUUUUGCCUUCAUUCUUUCACAAGUGAACAGUGGACUGUUCUGGAAGUUACAUGUGAUGAUGUCAUCACUCUGAUAACAGAACAUG
rnacentral:lncRNA from 1 species